UACGUAGGGUGCAAGCGUUAUCCGGAAUUACUGGGCGUAAAGGGCGCGUAGGCGCCUUCUAAGUCGAACGUGAAAUCCCUGGGCUCAACCCAGGAACUGCGUCCGAUACUGGAAGGCUUGAAUCCGGGAGAGGGAUGCGGAAUUCCUGGUGUAGCGGUGAAAUGCGUAGAGAUCAGGAGGAACACCCAUGGCGAAGGCAGCUCUCUGGUCGACAUCUGACGCUGAGACGCGAAAGCGUGGGGAGCGAACGGG
rnacentral:rRNA from 1 species